rnacentral:rRNA from 1 species
AGGUGCUUACACAUGCAGUCGAACGCUGAAGCAGAAGCUUGCCUUCUGGUGGAUGAGUGGCGAACGGGUGAGUAACACGUGAGUAACCUGCCCCCGAUUUCGGGAUAAGCCCGGGAAACUGGGUCUAAUACCGGAUACGACCAAUCCUCGCAUGAGGGUUGGUGGAAAGUUUUUCGAUCCGGGGAUGGGCUCGCGGCCUAUCAGCUUGUUGGUGGGGUAAUGGCCUACCAAGGCGACGACGGGUAGCCGGCCUGAGAGGGCGACCGGCCACACUGGGACUGAGACACGGCCCAGACUCCUACGGGAGGCAGCAGUGGGGAAUAUUGCACAAUGGGGGAAACCCUGAUGCAGCGACGCAGCGUGCGGGAUGACGGCCUUCGGGUUGUAAACCGCUUUCAGCAGGGAAGAAGCCGUAAGGUGACGGUACCUGCAGAAGAAGUACCGGCUAACUACGUGCCAGCAGCCGCGGUAAUACGUAGGGUACGAGCGUUGUCCGGAAUUUUGGGCGUAAGAGCUCGUGGUGGUGGCACGUUGG